ensembl:lincRNA
GAUGACCUCAUAAUUGGGCCAUGAUUAUGAUGUGCAAGUUCUUAAGUGGUCUCAGCAAAAGCUUCUGAGCGGAUUCAGUCCCCAGUCUCCUCUCCAGCACAAGUGCAGUGGCCCCUUCCCUCACUUCCACACUGGCAAGAGUGUGUUUUCUGUAGAGGCAAAGACUAUAAUGAGAUGUGGCACAACAUAAACACAUCCCUGUGAGAAUGGCAGCAAGGAGAAUUGCAGACUGCCCGGAAGUCCACCCAAUUUUCAUUAUCCCUCAAUGAUGGCAAUCCUGCGGGUCUCCUCCAGAACGCUCCCUUCCUCUGUGAAAUACAUCGCGGCUUUCUCCUCAUCCUUCAGUCACUGACGCUAAGUAAAAGAGCGGUGUGCUGAGUUGAAUGACAACUUCUAAUUAAAGUAGUGGCUGAUUAUCAUCACAUAUCUUUCACAAUUAACAGAAGAACGUUCUUAUCAUACAUACAGAGAGAGUGAUUUUACUAUUUUGAGGAAAGAUUUACUCAGCUGGUUCCACAUAGUCGGGGAAAACAUGUCUUAUAAAGAAAUUGGUGUUAUAUUUUCCGUCAACCUCAUUUCCAUUUUGCUGAAGUGUCUGCAGAACAGCUCAAGACCACACGGUGGUUCCCACCCACUCAGUGGCCUGUGCAGCAGGGGCUGUGGACCCGUCUUCUGUGGCCGGCUGAGCACUCCGGUCUUCGGUAGGGAACUACUGAAUAGGCACGGGGGGCACCUGCACACCUUCAGACCAGUCUGCAACCUCCGGCUGAGCAACGGUGAAUUCCGGAUCUGGUGCGAUCCAUUCGCCCUGAAAUUCCUCUGGGUCAUAGCCUUCUCAGCAGCUGCCUGCUCUACCUUUUCAAUCUCUUCAGGAUCCCUGUAGAAGCAGAGAUCUGGCAUAACUUCCCACGGGUGUUCACGGGAGAUGGUGACACGCAUGCGUAGCACGUCCCGGGCCAGCGUCCACCACAUCAGACCCACUGAGUGAGCUCCGUUAUUGUUGCACUUCACUGUCAGCUUUACACAUAGUGUCCCUAGCAAUCCAUAGGAUCCUCUUCUGAGGUGAAUAGUGGCAUUUUACAGCUGAAGUAAUGAAGAAAAUCUAGUUAAGGAAGCAGAGUGAUUGCUAAGGGGUGGAACCUGCAUUCCAGCUUUGAUGCUCUUGUCCAAAGGGUUCUUUCCUUUGCACCAGGCUGCUUGUAGGCUAGGUUUCUAGGCCAGGGCUGUGGGAUGCUUCAUCUGCCCUUGGCCUCUACAAAUCCAGAGAGACUGGUUGACAACAUUUGGUGAGUUCAUCAUAUCCUGUUUUAGUAAAGCUUCCAGUCUCCACCUCAUGCUGUUUCUUCUAUUGCAUUUCUUUAACAUACAUGAUCAUGACCAUGUAGAGAAAGCACAGUUUUGUUAAAUGUAGAAGUUAAAAAUACUAGAUGCACCUAUUUUGACUUUCCUUUGACCUGGUGAUGAAUGAUUUCAAAUAUGUAUGUAUCAUCAAACUUCCAUUUAUGAGGGGAAUUUUUUUUUUUUUUUUUUUGGUUUUUCUCCGGUACCAGGAACCGAACUCACGACCUUGCGCUUGCCAGGCAGGCGCUUUUGCCGCUGAGCUAAAUCCCCAGCCCCCUAAACUUCCAUUUAU